UCUGGUGAUAAUAGCGAAGAGGUCACACCUGUUCCCAUGCCGAACACAGUAGUUAAGCUCUUCAACGCCGAUGGUAGUUGGGGCCUUGCCCCUGCAAGAGUAGGACAUCGCCAGGC
rfam:Paraliobacillus sp. PM-2 genome assembly, contig: CONTIG000001